CUUAUCUUUGCUGACACUAACCACAUACAGUCUCUUCUUGCUCUUUGGUUUCUUCUGUGGGAAGUUGUAUUUUGACAUCGGAGAUAAACCAGACCAAACUCACCGGUCAUCGUGAGAUUCCUGGGAACAGCAUGGUGAGGAAAUCUUCCUUGGCUUCCUUGAAGCCAUUAAGUGCUUCAACCGCUCCAAAGGUAACCAGCUGCAGGAUAUUCUGAAUGACUGAAAACAUGAUCAAAAAACAACAGUGUGAGCCAGGGAAAACUCUGGCAGGAGAGCACCACCCACACAAAGAAAUACUUACUAAAUUCAUCUCGGAGACAGGAUAUCUGCUCAACUUAGGGGAGUUCUUUCUGCUCAGUGGGAAAAUCAACCGGAAGAUGUGCAGCAGUCAUAACAACACAGAGGUAAACUCUUCUCUUUAAACUGGUGGAAGUACUGCAACAUCCAUUCUCUUGCACUCAUGAAACAAAAUCAGUGUCUGAAGUAAGUGGCUUGUUGGUGUGUGCUGCAGGCAUGAUAGCAAGUAAUCUUGUGCAGUAGUCAGAGUCUCACACAUCCUUUCCUGCUGGGUCCCCAACUCUUCCUGGAAGAAACUGAGGAUGGAGCCUUUCACAUCCAGGAUAUUACAUGAAAGUUGCACAGAAAACUGAUAUAUCUCCAAUGACUCACCUGCACCUUUGGAAAAGUCAGUGUUUUUGGGAAACCCAGGCUAUUUGUUUCCAUCUCCAUCAACUCCCUGUGAUACAAACUACUGCACUGUUUACUGGAAGAGCCUGAACAGAAAGUCUACAACUUCAUAUCCACUAGAGCUUGGUUCAGUUCUUUUGCAUUUACAGAAGGCUGGCAGUGAAAUAGCAAAUUGUAUAAUGAGCUUCAAAGGGUCAUGCUGAUAUGAAAUGCAGAGACAGCCCUGAAAUCUGCUGAGGAACCACCCAGAAAGAGCCUGUACAUGCUCAAAUUUCUCACAUCCACCACGUAGCAAUGCAUUCUGCUAACAAGACCAACUAAAUGAACAUUUCUUUUGCUUGUACUUCAAAUUCUUCAUCAAAUGCUGUUUCAGUUUGCUCCACUGCAAUACUGGAAAAUGCCAGAUACACCUGGCAGUGUAGGAUAUAUGUAGCUCCCAGAAGUGCCCUGUACAUUUGCAAGAAAUGAAAUUAUUAAUUAUCUCUGUAUUUAUGUACCUAUUUGAUUCACAAGCUUGAUAGGUUCACUCUAGUGGCUGAUUUACGUGAAUGUUCCUGGGACUGCAUUACUGCAUAAUUAAUCUUUAUAGCAAAGUGGCCUUGUUUCCACAUGGAUGCUGCUUAAAAAAUUGCAUUCAUUUGCACUAUGGAGGCAUAGGCAAUAGGUGGAAAUAUCAAAAUGAGCUGUUCACUCCCUGUUCUGAAAUGGAUGAAAUCUAAAGCUAGUCUUCAUUUAGAUUGGAAGAAGAUGAUCCAGAGAUAUAGCACAGGUGUGUAUAUGUUCCUUAAGUGUAAAGUACAUGAUCUUGUUUAUCUAGAACAGUUAAGGUCAGAAAUUUAUGUAGCCCACAAGUAUAAACUAUUUUCUCCUCAGGAAAACCUCUCUGAUAUAAAGCUGGGAGGAGUGGCUGACACCAGAAGACUGUGCCUUCAGCAAGACUUGGACAGAAUGGAAAGUUGUGCAGGGAGAAACCUCAUUGAUUAACCUUGAUUAACAAGAGCAAGUGUAGAGUCUUGCUCCUGUGGUGGGAUAACCAUGUGCAUCAGUACAGGUUAGGGGAUGACCUGUGGAGAGGAGUUCUGCAGAGAAGGACCUGGGUAUUCUGGUGGACAAUGGGUUGGCCAUGAGCCAGCAGUGGGCCCUUGUAGCCAAGUAGGACAAUAGUAUUCUGGGGCACAUUCAAACGAGUGCGGCCAGCAUGUUAAAGAAGGUUAUCCUCCCUUUCCACUAUGCUCUGGUGAGACGACAUUUAGACUACUGUAUCCAGUUCUGGGCUCCCCAGUUCAAAAAAAAAAAAAACAGGGACCUCCUAGAAGGAGUCCAGCAGGGGGCCAUAAGGAUGAUAAAGGGCCUAGAGAUCUCCCUUAUGAGGAAAGAUUGGGAGACCUGGAUCUGUUCAUCCUGGAGAAAGAAGUCUGAGGGGGUAUCUGAUUAAUGUUUAUAAAUAUCUGAAUAGAGGUGGGAAGCAAAUGGAGGAGGCCGGGCUCCUCUUAGUGGUGCACAGCAAUAGGACAAGGAGUAAUGGCCUAAAACUUGAACAUAGGAAGUUCUAUGUAAAUAUGCUUAAGAACUUCUGUACGGUAGGGGUGACUAACCACUAGAACAGGUUGCCCAGAGAGGUUGUGGAGUCUCCUUCUCAGGAAAUACUCAAGACCUGGCUGAACAUCUACCUGUACAACUUAUCAGAGCAGGGGGCUUGGACUCGAUGAUCUCUUGAGGUCCCUUCCAACUCCUGAGAUUCUGUGAUUCUGAAACAGCAUGCAACAGAUCAGAUAUUUUUUCUUUUGAAACUGGACCUUAAAAAUACAUAUAUAUUUUUUGUUAUCCAAGGAAAUUAACCUGCUUUCUUCAGGUCAAAUAAAUUAUCUGUGGAUACUCAAAGAUAUUUUUGAUUAUUUUGCUUGGUUUCUAAUUGAGAUGGAGGAAGCAAUGAAUUGUUUUACCUAACAUGUAAUGCAGAUAGUCAUCAUACUAUCAAUGGGAAUGAAACAAUUUUUCCUUUUUUUGGUUUUGGUUUUGGUUUCAAAGAUAAAACGAAGAGCACUACUAAGUAGUACAAAAGAACCUUCUG
ensembl:lncRNA